rnacentral:rRNA from 1 species
GCAAAGCCGCGAGGUGGAGCAAAUCUCAAAAAGACCGUCCCAGUUCGGAUUGCAGGCUGCAACCCGCCUGCAUGAAGUUGGAAUCGCUAGUAAUCGCGGAUCAGCAUGCCGCGGUGAAUACGUUCCCGGGCCUUGUACACACCGCCCGUCACACCAUGAGAGUCGGGAACACCCGAAGUCCGUAGCCUGACCGCAAGGGGGGCGCGGCCGAAGGUGGGUUCGAUAAUUGGGGUGAAGUCGUAACAAGGUACC